ACUUUAUUUUUUUCUUUCAGUAUGUAAGGUUAAGAACUCAAAAGAUAUCAGUUCUGUUGCGGACAAGGUUUACAACACCAAACUGGGUUAAGCACAAGGAGCCAAGAGAGGUUCAUAUGUUUGUUGAUCUGCUGCUUCAAGAGUUCGAAGCCAUAAGAGGCGAAGUAAAGCAGAUUUUACCUCCAGAACUUAGCCGUAAACAUCGUCGUACAGACAGUAACGGGAGCACCACCACUUCUCGCAGCA